rnacentral:rRNA from 1 species
GACAAACGCUGGCGGCAUGCCUAACACAUGCAAGUCGAACGGACAGAACAGGGAAGCUUUUCGGAGUGGAACUGGAAAGUUAGUGGCGGAUGGGUGAGUAACGCGUGGACAACCUACCUUGUAAAGGGGAAUAACCUCGAGAAAUCGAAGCUAAUACCCCAUAAUAACCUUGCUUCGCAUGAAGUAAGGAGGAAAGGCGGCCUUAGCGCUGUCGAUACAAGAUGGGUCCGCGUCUGAUUAGCUAGUUGGUGAGGUAAAGGCUCACCAAGGCGACGAUCAGUAGCCGGCCUGAGAGGGUGAACGGCCACAUUGGGACUGAGACACGGCCCAAACUCCUACGGGAGGCAGCAGUGGGGAAUCUUCCGCAAUGGGCGAAAGCCUGACGGAGCAAUGCCGCGUGAGUGAAGAAGGCCCUCGGGUUGUAAAACUCUGUCCUUAUCGAAGAGAGAGUGUUGUAGUAACUGACAAUACUAGGACGGUAGAUGAGGAGGAAGCCCCGGCUAACUAUGUG